rnacentral:lncRNA from 1 species
UCAGAUCAAUUUAUUUUUGACCUACAUAUCCUGUUUUCCUUUGUUGCUACCGCCAACUCUUAAGAUUUUACCACAGUCUCUGUCAGAAGCACCCAUGGGUUGGUCUGGCGCCAGAGGAACUGUGUAUUUCUCAUUUCAGAACUGAUAGGCCUGAAAAGAAUUCUGGGUAUGUCAAACUCCUCAGUGAGAAGAGCAACAUAAGCCCGGUAGUGAAGCUGGUCCAGAGACCACACUCAAGGCGUUUAUUCAGAUGACUGAAUUUUAGGACACUAAGCCAAGGACCAAAUAGUCUCUCAACACUGAGUGUGGAGUAAGGCAGAGGGGCCCACAGACGGUGAUUCGAGUGAACAGAUUUUCAUAUAAGCCACAGCGAUGAUAGCUGAUCCUUUCAGGGCUUGCCAGGCCUACCCUCCAAGGUGGACGAAGCUGACAUGUGGACAGUCAUGGUGUUGAGGCUGUUAGUGACCUUCAGGAGGCAUGUGCUUUAGACUGGAGAUCACAUUUAAGAAUCAUGGCUGAAAUGCCACUGUUGCUUCCCUCCAUGAUGACGUUCACCGGACUUGAAUAAUUAGAUCUCAACAACAAGGAUUGGAUUUAGUCUGUGAAAUAUAAAGUCAUCGCUGAUUUGUUGGUCAUAACGUAGUUUCUUAUAGU